rnacentral:rRNA from 1 species
GUCUAAGGCUAUGCCACCCUGAAGCUCAAUCCCGCCUGAUCUCGGAAGAUAAGCAGGGUGUGCCUGGUUAGUACUUGGACGGGAGACCACCUACAAAGACCAGGUGCUGUAGACG